AUGCCGCUGGUGGUGGACAUGUCGCGCUCCCGCCGCUUCGCCUACGCGCUGAUCGACCCGCCGUCCCCCAGCCCGGCUGACCUCCUUCGUCGAGCCAUCGAGCAGCGCGCCGGCAACCCGAGGGUCGGCCUUGCUGCCUCGCACUACGGCGCGAUGAUGGUCGUGUUUGCCUCUGAGCAAGCUCGCGAGCACGCCAUGAGGGGGUUCUUCCCGCUCCCCUACGACGGCCAUGUCAUCAUGCUCGAGCGGCCGGAGAACGGGGAGAACCGGUUCGGCUGGGAGUACACUUGCUUCGCGCAGCUCUCCGCCACCGGCUUCCCGCUCGAGCACUGGGAUGAGGGCGGCAUCCGCAACGCCUUUCGCUCCAUCGGGAACGUUUGCUGCAUCGACCCUCUCUGCCUCAACGACCUCGACUUCUCGGCCGUCCGCUUGGUGAUCCGCCUCGAGCACGAGAACGACGUCCCCCAUGCUCUCCUCCUCCGCAACUUCGACGGCGACCUCUCCACCGACGUGACCCUCCGUCUGGUCCGGACCUGGACCAUGGAGGAGGACGGCUCCUCCGCCUCCUCCGUCCACUUCGAGCCUUCUGGCGGGUCUCAUCCACCCUCCCCGCGCGUGCGCCGCCCCUCGGCCAUGGACGACAUCGACACUGAGAGCCUGCGCGGGUUCGGGGCGCUCUCCCUCGGGGCGCAGCCGGACGCCCCUCCGCCUCCCCCCGCCCCCCGCGACGGGCAGGACAGCGCGGCCGUGGCCCGCCUCCGGCGGGAGAUCGGUCGCCGCCUCUCAAGGUUCCUCUCCGAGCCUUUCCCCACGCGCUGGAACUCCCUCUUCCCCCCGGCUACACCUCUCAUCAUCGAGGGGGAGGAUGUGCCGGAGGCUUCGCUCUCCUCCCCCGUGGUCUUCGAGGCGUCCUCCGAGGGCGGCUCCACGGCGCUGGUGCCCUCCCCUCUCCUCGUGCCCUCCGACCUCCUCAACGACAACCACGAGCAUGCUGCCCGCAAGCGCCGUGGCCUGCGCAAACGCGCCGUCGACUCCGGGUUCACCGACGGGCGCCGCAGCUUGCGUCUCGCCGGGAAGGAGCCCGCUGCCUACGUCAAGAUGCUGGACCGCGCCAAGGCGGUCAAGGCGGCUCGCUUCGACGUCUCCAAGGGGUCCUCUCGCCUUCGUAAUGCCAUCCGUGCGGCCGGCAUAGAUGCUGAGGAUGGCGCGGUCGAUCCUAUCCCGCUUCGCAAGCUUCAGGCGAUGGGCUCCCCCUGCAGCGUCGAUCCAGAGGCCCUGGCAGCUGGGGCCCGCGCUGAGGUGGCCGCCCGUGCCCCAUGA
rnacentral:rRNA from 1 species